rnacentral:misc_RNA from 1 species
GAAAACAUGAUAUGUAUGUGGGCUGGAGAUGUAGCACAGUAAGGAUGCUUUCUCCCAUUGUUACAACACAAUACAUCCUCGAUCACUUACAGGUGUAUAAUGGGCACUAAAAUUAUUAUAGCACUCAGAAAGUGUGCAUACACAAGAAAUACACCAAACAAACUAAAUAAGUCCCAAAAACUAAGAAAAGUUACUUAAUAAAUCAAAUUACAGAAAAGAAACUGAAUUACAUUCAUCAUAAAUUGCCUGUACAGUCUUCUUUUGAUAUACUUAUAUAUCCUGCAAAUUUAUAGUGUAUAUAUAUAUUUUUUUUGCAACACAAGACAAAAAAAACUUUCUCCAGAACCUUACAAGCUGUUAAAAAUCUGAAUAAUCAUUGUAUAUUCUACAAGCUAUUGACAACAUAUAGUUGUUCAUUAUUAGCUGUUGCAAUGUUAUCAUGUUAUGGGGCCAUGUCUUGCUAAUAACUCUUGUCUGAUCGAACUACAGGGAAAUAACUGGUACUGGAUUCCAUUAAAAUGUAAUGAG